CAAGAGAGUCUGGGAUGUGACCAGCUUUAUAUGUUUUAUGCUAAAAACUUUUACAGAAAUGAACAUUUUUUGAGGGCUGGAGCUGAGAUUUACCAUCUUCAGUUGCCUAGACAUUGCUUUUGUUUGUAAGUCCCCCUUAAAUAUUUUCUUUCUGAGAAACUGGAUUUGUCAGCCUCUUUCUUUGGCCUCUCAGCUCCCUCUCAGCUUUCAUGGGUAGGUUUUUAUAAACCUGCUCAUCAUAAAACAAGGUGAAAUGACCAGGUGCAAAUGAAAUGUUAUACCUCUAAUCAUGGAGGCAUAAACGCAUGUCAUCAGGAGAAGGAAAAGCCACUAUCUGGAAUAGGAAACAGUGAAGAAAGAGAGAACGAGCCAGAAAUUUGAUCAGGGAAACCCGAGGGAGACCAACACACUUAAGCUGCCCUCACCUUGACUGUGUUGAGCUAAUCAAAUGAAAUUCAGUGCUGAGAAUUGGAUUUUGAAACACAACAAAAAUGACUCAUCACAGCUAUGAUACUCUUUUUCUGUGUCUCAUGUGCACAUUCAGCCAAGCUGCUCUUUCUGGUCACAUUCUGGAGUCUGUUUCAAAGCCUUGAGUCAGAGAAUCUGGAGAAAUUGGAGUAAAGGUGAAACUCUUCUGCUGUGUAGUGAUUUUCAAACUUGGCUGCACAUUUGCUGUAGAAUGGGAGUUUGUGUCCUCAAAUUUAUAUGUUGAUGCCUAAUCCCCACGAUGAUGGUAUUUGGAUGUGGGUCCUUUGGGAGGAGAUUGGGUCAUGAGUAAAGCCCUCAUGAAUGGGAUUAAUGUCCUUAUAAAAACGGACAUAAGAAAGCCCACUUCCUCUUUCUCUCCUCUCAGCCAUGUGAAGAUAGAACAAGAAAACAAACCAAGAAUCUUGCCUCACCAGCUACCAGAUCUGCCAGCAACUUGAACUUAGACUUCCCAGCCUCCAUAAUGGUGCAGAUAGCCUGGCCACAUUACAAGAAGGAAUUGAGUAAACAAGCAAAGAAAUGCAAAGGUAAGUGGACUCUGAUAGAAAAAAAAAAAAAGUCUCCUGAUUUUUUCAAGCACCUAGAUACAGCCAUAUCUGAAGCUAGUUUUUUCCUUUGGCUGUCUGGUAACAUGAGUCAACAAAAUUCCAUUUUUGCUUCAUCUAGUUUGCACUAGGUUUCCAUCACUUGCAGAGGAAAGAGAUCUGCUGAUUACAGUGAAAAUUCUCAUUGAGCAAAUGUGGACAAGAAAUUAGAAAUGUAAAUAGACAGCAAAGUGACAGAUACACAGAUAAAAGACAAACAGGUCUAACAAGAAGGGGUAGAAAGCCCCUUGAAUUUUAAUGCAGAAAUAAUAAACAAAUACAGAGGGAGUGAUGGGUUAUCUUG
rnacentral:lncRNA from 13 species